AGUGAACGCUGGCGGUAGGCCUAACACAUGCAAGUCGAACGGCAGCACAGUAAGAGCUUGCUCUUACGGGUGGCGAGUGGCGGACGGGUGAGGAAUACAUCGGAAUCUACUUUUUCGUGGGGGAUAACGUAGGGAAACUUACGCUAAUACCGCAUACGACCUACGGGUGAAAGCAGGGGAUCUUCGGACCUUGCGCGAUUGAAUGAGCCGAUGUCGGAUUAGCUAGUUGGCGGGGUAAAGGCCCGCCAAGGCGACGAUCCGUAGCUGGUCUGAGAGGAUGAUCAGCCACACUGGAACUGAGACACGGUCCAGACUCCUACGGGAGGUAGCAGUGGGGAAUAUUGGACAAUGGGCGCAAGCCUGAUCCAGCCAUACCGCGUGGGUGAAGAAGGCCUUCGGGUUGUAAAGCCCUUUUGUUGGGAAAGAAAAGCAGCAGGUUAAUACCCCGCUGUUCUGACGGUACCCAAAGAAUAAGCACCGGCUAACUUCGUG
rnacentral:rRNA from 1 species